GUGCAUAAGCACGCUCGUGUUUUUGCGCGUGUGUGUGUUUGUCAGCGUAUGUAAUCCAAGAAAAUCUGUCACGUGCUUUGGAUAUCUCUUUGUUCUACUUGCUCCACACACGCAGCGUAUUUAUUGAAUAAAAUUAAAGAUAAAUACCCACAAAAACGAAUCCAAUGGAUACGAAAUUGGCCAGAAACUGACAGAUGUUGUUUUUAGCUACUCCACCAAGAAUAACAACUCAGCUGAGUAGGUCAAUGUGGCGGAGAGAGUGUGCAAAGAACUAGACAAUUUGGCCACUAGAGAUGGCAAACAGUCCGUGGCCAUUUGUAACUCAGAAAGUGUAGUGCUCAUAAAAAUACAACAAAAGACACAAGCAAAAUAAACAAAUGAUAAACUAAUAUAAUCUCAACAGGAAAAUAAAUAAAUCGCAUGCAAAAAUUAUAAGCGUUCUGCGAUUGGAACUGUGAAAAGCAUUUGAGAUAAAAUUGGCAAUAAAAUCGAGAGAAACCGUCCCAUAAAAAAAGCGCCGAUUUUUGCAAUAGACGAAACAAAAUAUAUAUAACUUUCCUUUGACAAUUUGUCUGAAUGUAAAAUUCAGUCAACGUUUGCAGAACUCAACAAUAAAACAAUUCA